AUGGGAUGGAGCUGUAUCAUGCUCUUCUUGGCAGCAACAGCUACAGGUGUCCACUUCCAGGUCCAACUGCAGCAGCCUGGGGCUGAGCUUGUGAAGCCUGGGGCUUCAGUGAAGCUGUCCAGCAAGGCUUCUGGCUACACCUUCACCAGCUACUGGAUGCACUGGGUGAAGCAGAGGCCUGGACGAGGCCUUGAGUGGAUUGGAAGGAUUGAUCCUAAUAGUGGUGGUACUAAGUACAAUGAGAAGUUCAAGAGCAAGGCCACACUGACUGUAGACAAACCCUCCAGCACAGCCUACAUGCAGCUCAGCAGCCUGACAUCUGAGGACUCUGCGGUCUAUUACUGUGCAAGA